GAUGAACGCUAGCUACAGGCUUAACACAUGCAAGUCGAGCGACCGGCGCAUGGGUGAGUAAUACGUAUCCAACCCGCCCUUUACUCGGGGAUAGCCUUACGAAAGAAAGAUUCAUACUCGACAUAAAGGAUGGGGAUGCGGUCGAUUAGGUUGUUGGUGAGGUAUCGGCCCACCAAGCCUUCGAUGGAUAGUGGUUCGGAGAGGAAGGUCCCCCGCAUUGGAGCUGAGACGCGAUCCACACUCCUACUGGAGGCAGCAGUGAGGAAUAUUGGUGAAUGGGCGUUAGCCUGAACCUGCCAAGUAGCGUGAAGGGUGAUGGGUUGUGGGUCUUAAACUUCUUUUAUGUAAGAAUAGGUAUUAGAUGAAUAAGGAUCGGCUAACUCCGUGCCAGCAGCCGCGGUAAUUC
rnacentral:rRNA from 1 species